rnacentral:rRNA from 1 species
CACCGCGGUUAUACGAGAGACCCAAGUUGACAAACACCGGCGUAAAGCGUGGUUAAGCUAGCACUCAUACUAAAGCCAAACAUCUUCAAAGCUGUUAUACGCAACCGAAGACAGGAAGCCCAACCACGAAAGUGACUUUAAUUUGACCUGAAUCCACGAAAGCUAAGGAA